UCACUGUCAAAAAUAUGUUUUAACUGG
rnacentral:piRNA from 1 species